ACAAACCAGUGUUCUCUCAUGGUC
rnacentral:siRNA from 1 species